UACGGAGGGUGCAAGCGUUACUCGGAAUUACUGGGCGUAAAGGGCGCGUAGGCGGUUUGGUAAGUCAGAUGUGAAAGCCCGGAGCUUAACUCCGGAAGUGCAUUUGAAACUGCUGAACUUGAGUAUGGGAGAGGGAAGUGGAAUUCCUGGUGUAGAGGUGAAAUUCGUAGAUAUCAGGAGGAACACCGGUGGCGAAGGCGACUUCCUGGACCAAUACUGACGCUGAGGCGCGAAGGCGUGGGUAGCAAACAGG
rnacentral:rRNA from 1 species